AGUGAACGCUGGCGGUAGGCCUAACACAUGCAAGUCGAACGGCAGCACAGUAAGAGCUUGCUCUUACGGGUGGCGAGUGGCGGACGGGUGAGGAAUACAUCGGAAUCUACUUUUUCGUGGGGGAUAACGUAGGGAAACUUACGCUAAUACCGCAUACGACCUACGGGUGAAAGCAGGGGAUCUUCGGACCUUGCGCGAUUGAAUGAGCCGAUGUCGGAUUAGCUAGUUGGCGGGGUAAAGGCCCACCAAGGCGACGAUCCGUAGCUGGUCUGAGAGGAUGAUCAGCCACACUGGAACUGAGACACGGUCCAGACUCCUGCGGGAGGCAGCAGUGGGGAAUAUUGGACAAGGGGCGCAAGCCUGAUCCAGCCAUACCGCGUGGGUGAAGAAGGCCUUCGGGUUGUAAAGCCCUUUUGUUGGGAAAGAAAAGCAGCAGGUUAAUAACCCGCUGUUCCGACGGUACCCAAAGAAUAAGCACCGGCUAAGUUCGUG
rnacentral:rRNA from 1 species